rnacentral:rRNA from 1 species
UACGUAGGGAGCAAGCGUUGUCCGGAAUUAUUGGGCGUAAAGGGCGCGUAGGCGGCCCGGUAAGUCAAAUGUGAAAUACAGCGGCUUAACCGCUGGGGUGCGUUUGAAACUGUCGGGCUUGAGUACAGGAGAGGAGAGUGGAAUUCCUGGUGUAGUGGUGAAAUACGUAGAUAUCAGGAAGAACACCGGUGGCGAAGGCGGCUCUCUGGCCAUGUACUGACGCUGAGGCGCGAAAGCGUGGGGAG